UGGGGAAUUUUGGACAAUGGGCGAAAGCCUGAUCCAGCAAUGCCGCGUGUGUGAAGAAGGCCUUCGGGUUGUAAAGCACUUUUGUCCGGAAAGAAAUCCUUGGCUCUAAUACAGUCGGGGGAUGACGGUACCGGAAGAAUAAGCACCGGCUAACUACGUGCCAGCAGCCGCGGUAAUACGUAGGGUGCAAGCGUUAAUCGGAAUUACUGGGCGUAAAGCGUGCGCAGGCGGUUUGCUAAGACCGAUGUGAAAUCCCCGGGCUCAACCUGGGAACUGCAUUGGUGACUGGCAGGCUAGAGUAUGGCAGAGGGGGGUAGAAUUCCACGUGUAGCAGUGAAAUGCGUAGAGAUGUGGAGGAAUACCGAUGGCGAAGGCAGCCCCCUGGGCCAAUACUGACGCUCAUGCACGAAAGCGUGGGGAGCAAACAGGAUUAGAUACCCUGGUAGUCCACGCCCUAAACGAUGUCAACUAGUUGUUGGGGAUUCAUUUCCUUAGUAACGUAGCUAACGCGUGAAGUUGACCGCCUGGGGAGUACGGUCGCAAGAUUAAAACUUAAAUGAAUUGACGGGGUCAU
rnacentral:rRNA from 1 species